rnacentral:rRNA from 1 species
AUACAGGGAGGGCAAGCGUUAUUCAGAAUUAAUGGGCGUAAAGGGUGCGUAGGCGGUAACUUAGAUUAAAUAUAAAAUCCCAAAGCUUAACUUUGGAACUGUAUUUAAUAUCUAUUUACUAGAGUAAGGUAGGGGGUAGUAGAAUUCCUAAAGUAAAGGUAAAAUUUUUCGAUCUUGGGAGGAAUACCAUAAGCGUAGGCGACUAUCUGGACCUAAACUGACGCUGAGGCACGAAAGCAUGGGUAGCAAACAGGAUUAGAAACCCUAGUAGUCC